UGAUAUUUUGCUAUAAAUUAUCGCACUGUGCACAAUGCACACUUCACAGUGUUCAUGUACAUGUAGAUUGAUAUCGUGUGUAUUCUUUACAUGUUUGUUAUUCAUUUUGCCCUAGAAUACGCCCAACUUUGCGUUAUACAUCAGUCGUGUUUUAAAGUUUCGAGUGGACUUAUGAUUUUUUAGUAACAGAGCUUGAUCGCUACCAAAACAUAGUUGAAUUCGCUUUAUUUACACAAGUGAAAAGAUUUGAAAAAUGAGUGGAUUACUCAAAAAAAUGAAAGCGAAUUUGAUGUUUUUAAGCUUGUGUUGCCUACUACUGCUAGUAAAUGAGCAUCGAUCUGAAGAGUCAUCAGAAGUGCAACCCGAACAGCAAAGUGGAACGGUUCCACCAAAAAAUACAUCGUUAAAUCCUGGUACAACUUUCUUUUUUCCAUGUCCAGAUGGGGAAGAAAGAGAUGAGGAUACGGGAGAAUGUAAACCUAUAUUUUUAGUUUUUGCAUAAAUGCAAAACAAAGACAUUCUUCCAUUUGGGUCUUGCUGAAAAUCAUUUAUAGAAAUUGCUUUUAAUAAAGAAUAAACAAAACAUUGUAAA